AUGUCGGCCGGUGAGAUCCCCGCUUCCUCUGCUCCCGGCGCGCCUCAGUUCCAUGUACUGGCGGAGCUGCCAUGGCCGCAGCCACCGGACGCCGACAAUGAUUACUUCCUCGAGAAAUUCCAAGCCUGUGUUGAAACAUUGCCAGCUAUGCUGCACAAGAACUAUUCAUUAAUGCGAGAGCUCGAUAAAAGCUUGCAAGGUGUGCAGCUGGAAAAUGAGCAGCGAUGUCAACAAGAAAUAGAGGACAUUAAGCAUGGACUUGAAUCUGGAAGUAUUACAACAUAUGAGCCAGCAAAACUUAAAUUUUCUGAUGAGGCAAUCGAGGAGCAGAAACAUUGUGUUAGGAUUGCUGAUGAGAAGGUGGCUUUAGCCACACAAACGUAUGACCUGGUCGACGCUCAUAUCCAACAGCUUGAUCAAUACAUGAGGAAGCUUGAAGAACUUCGACUAGAAAAGGAGGCAGCUGCAGCUGCAGCUGCAGCUGCAGCUGCGGCAGAUACAGCUGUUGCUGCUACUUCAGCUGCUCCUGCUGGCGCUGGUAGCUUAAGGUCCGCAGCUGCUGAUCCUGCUCCAAAAACUGGAAGAGCUGGCGAAAGAAACAGAGGAGGGCGGAAGAAGGCUAAGGUGCCCACGGAGAUGCCCACAGAGAUCCCCAUAGAGCAGCCAGCUAUAGAUUUAGAAUUGCCUGUCGAUCCUAAUGAACCGACGUACUGCUUCUGCAACCAAGUCAGCUACGGUGAGAUGGUCGCGUGCGACAACCCUGAUUGCAAGAUAGAGUGGUUCCACUUUGGAUGCGUGGGAUUGAAAGAGCAGCCGAGGGGGAAGUGGUAUUGCCUGAGUUGCAGCGCAUUCCAAAAGAAGCGCAAGGGCAGGUGA
rnacentral:rRNA from 1 species